rnacentral:pre_miRNA from 1 species
UAUAAGGGAUUUUAAGUUUUCGUUUGCAACGUUUGACCACUCGUUUUAUUCAAAUUUUUUUGAAAUUAUUAUUUAUUUUAUUUGUGACUUACUUUAUUAUUAUCUACAGUAAUUUAAGUAUAACUUUUCGUUUUUUAUAUUUGUAAAAAAAAUUUGAAUAAGACGAGUGGUCAAACGUUGUAAACAAAAACUGAAAAUCCCUUAUA